rnacentral:rRNA from 1 species
UGGGGAAUAUUGGACAAUGGGGGCAACCCUGUUCCAGCAAUGCCGCGUGUGUGAAGAAGGCCUUCGGGUUGUAAAGCACUUUUGUCCGGGAAGAAAUCGCACCUGAUAAUACCGGGUGUGGAUGACGGUACUGGAAGAAUAAGGACCGGCUAACUACGUGCCAGCAGCCGCGGUAAUACGUAGGGUCCAAGCGUUAAUCGGAAUUACUGGGCGUAAAGCGUGCGCAGGCGGUUGUGCAAGACCGAUGUGAAAUCCUCGGGCUUAACCUGGGAAUUGCAGUGGUGACUGCACGGCUAGAGUGUGUCAGAGGGGGGUAGAAUUCCACGUGUGGCAGUGAAAUGCGUAGAGAUGUGGAGGAAUACCGAUGGCGAAGGCAGCCCCCAGGGAUAACACUGACGCUCAUGCACGAAGGCGUGGGGAGCAAACAGG